rnacentral:pre_miRNA from 1 species
UUCCGUUUUCAAGUGGUAGAUGAAGUCGGCUUUUAGUACAAGGAUAACUCAAAGUGAUAUAAUGAGUUAUCCUUGUACUAAAAGCCGACUUCAUCUACCACUUCGUUU